ACUUCCUAUCCUUGGUGUAUUCAGAACCUUUGCUGCGGUGGGUGUAGACCCUGCCAUUAUGGGAAUUGGUCCAGCUGUUGCAAUUCCAGCUGCUGUCAAAUCUGCAGGCCUUGAACUUGAAGAUAUUGAUCUCUUUGAGAUAAAUGAGGCAUUUGCAUCACAAUUUGUUUAUUGCCGGAAGAAGCUUGAACUUGACCCAGAAAAGAUCAAUGUCAAUGGAGGUGCA
rnacentral:misc_RNA from 1 species